rnacentral:lncRNA from 1 species
GUUUGGGGUUUCUUUGCUCUUGUUUUCUUAGCAUUAGUGGCUGGCUCCUGGGAGCUCGCUGCAGACAGCCGCGCUGACAGCACUGGGCUUUGGUGUGGUGCUGGUGCUCCGUGCACAAAUUGAAAACUGGGAUGAGGAUAAGGCUUGGCUCAUGCCCCUCGUGGAGCUGCAUGUGCAGGUUCCAAGUGAAUAAGAGUGGUCUCCAUCUGUUAAUCCACUUGGUGAGAAGAGAGGGACAGCUUCGAUGGCAUUCCCUUAUGUGGCUGCAGAGGAUGCUGUCACUCACCUUGUCAGGCGCUCCUGAAUUUCAUCACAAUUCAUCAAACCCCCAGGUUGCUCAGUCAGCUCCACAGCAGACUGUGUGUUUUCAGCCUGAAUUAUGUACAGGUAGGUGAGCAAAGCCUUAUUCCCAGAGGCAUUCAGGAAGCCCUGUUACAUGCUCGGCUGCCAAGGGUGUGCUGCUCCUCUGAGCCAGUGAUGCCCACAGUGCCCCUGCCACGGGUGGCAAGGAGGGCUCCAUGCUAACCCUCACCUGCCUGUAUUUGCCCUUUCUGAGAGUCCUCCCUGACAGAUUCACUCAAAAUUCAGGGACUGGCAACAUCUAUUGCCUGUCUAAAUUCAAGGAUACUGCUUUGAUAAAUGGGCGAAUGAAAUCCUGGAAGCGGGGGGACGCCUUACCAUCCUACGAGCAGUCUGCAGUCAUGCUAUCUGUUAUUGUCUGGAUGAGAAAUCCACAUUUCUAGGCCCUGCUAACCAUCAGUAGUGAACUGCAAAUCUAAUUUAUCUCUUGUAAAGCCAUAAACAGACAUGCUGUGGAAGGGAAAGCGGUAUUUAGCAGUUCAAGUCCUGCACUGAGAUGCAGCUAGUUUGGGUUCGGUUCCUGCCUCUGUUGAGAGGGUCUGACAGCCAGGGCAGGGUUCAGGGCCAGUGCACAAACCCCAUGGGUGGGAUUGCAGAAAUAUUUAGGCUACUUCACUCCACUGUGGUGCUCACUUAGGUGCCCUAGGUGGCCACCCUCUCACUCUCCUAUUGGGAAGUUAAGACAGAAAAUCAAUGGGGUCAUGAAAAGGAAAUAAACAAAAGAGAACCGAACUGUCCA